CAGUAGCCACGGUAAUACGGAGGAUCCGAGCGUUAUCCGGAAUUAUUGGGUUUAAAGGGUGCGUAGGCGGAUAGAUAAGUCAGUGGUGAAAGACGGUGGCUCAACCAUCGCAGUGCCGUUGAUACUGUUUAUCUUGAAUAUGGAUGAGGUAGGCGGAAUGUGGCAAGUAGCGGUGAAAUGCAUAGAUAUGCCACAGAACACCGAUUGCGAAGGCAGCUUACCAAGGCAAAAUUGACGCUGAGGCACGAAAGCGUGGGGAUCGAACAGGAUUAGAGACCCCUGUAGUCCCUGUCUCUUAUAA
rnacentral:rRNA from 1 species